GAUGAAGAACGUAGCGAAAUGCGAUAAGUAAUGUGAAUUGCAGAAUUCAGUGAAUCAUCGAAUCUUUGAACGCACCUUGCGCCCUUUGGCCAUUCCGAAGGGCAUGCCUGUUUGAGUAUCAUGAACACCUCGACUCUCAUGGCUUGCCAUGAUGAGCUUGGACUUUGGGGGUCUUGCUGGCCUGUGGUCGGCUCCUCUCAAAUGAAUCAGCUUGCCAGUGUUUGGUGGCAUCACAAGUGUGAUAACUAUCUGCGCUCGUGGUUUCCAUCAGAUAACCUCCAGUGAUGGAGGUUCGCUGGAGCUCAUAAAUGUCUCUCCUAAGCGAGGACAGCUCUUUUAAUGUUUGAUCUCAAAUCAGGUAGGACUACCCGCUGAACUUAAGCAUAUCAAUAAGCGGAGGA
rnacentral:misc_RNA from 1 species